UGGGGAAUAUUGGACAAUGGGGGCAACCCUGAUCCAGCCAUGCCGCGUGUGUGAAGAAGGCCUUUUGGUUGUAAAGCACUUUAAGCAGUGAAGAAGACUCCAUGGUUAAUACCCAUGGACGAUGACAUUAGCUGCAGAAUAAGCACCGGCUAACUCUGUGCCAGCAGCCGCGGUAAUACAGAGGGUGCAAGCGUUAAUCGGAAUUACUGGGCGUAAAGCGAGCGUAGGUGGCUUGAUAAGUCAGAUGUGAAAGCCCCGGGCUUAACCUGGGAACGGCAUCUGAUACUGUUAGGCUAGAGUAGGUGAGAGGAAGGUAGAAUUCCAGGUGUAGCGGUGAAAUGCGUAGAGAUCUGGAGGAAUACCGAUGGCGAAGGCAGCCUUCUGGCAUCAUACUGACACUGAGGUUCGAAAGAGUGGGUAGCAAACA
rnacentral:rRNA from 1 species